rnacentral:rRNA from 1 species
CCUACGGGAGGCAGCAGUAGGGAAUUUUCCGCAAUGGGCGAAAGCCUGACGGAGCAACGCCGCGUGAGUGAGGACGGCCUUCGGGUUGUAAAGCUCUGUCUUUUGGGACGAUAAUGACGGUACCAAAGGAGGAAGCCACGGCUAACUACGUGCCAGCAGCCGCGGUAAU